AUGUCAUUAGCUAGUUGGUAAGGUAACGGCUUACCAAGGCAACGAUGCAUAGCCGACCUGAGAGGUGAUCGGCCCACACUGAACUGAGACACGGUCCCAGACUCCUACGGGAGGCAAGCAGUAGGGAAUCUUCCGCAAUGGGCGAAAGCCUGACGGAGCCAACGCCGCGUGAGUGAAUGAAGGUCUUCGGAUCGUAAAACCUCUGUUAUUAGGGAAGAACAUAUGUGUAAAGUGAACUGUGCACAAUUUGACGAGUACCUAAUCAGAAAGCCACGGCUAACUACGUGCCCAGCAGCCGCGGUAAUACGAGGUGAGCAAGCGUUAUCCGGAAUUAUUGGGCGUAAAGCGCGCGUAGGCGGUUUUAAGUCUGAUGUGAAAGCCCACGGCUCAACCGUGGAGGGGUCAUUCGGAACUGGAAACUUGAGUGCAGAAGAGGAAAGUGGAAUUCCAUGUGUAGCCGGUGAAAAUGCGCAGGAGAUAAUGGAGGAACACCAGUGGCGAAGGCGACUUUCUGGUCUGUAACUGACGCUGUCGUGCGAAAGCGGUGGGGAUCAAACAGGAUUAGAUACCCUGGUAGUCCACGCCGUAAACGAUGAGUGCUAAGUGUUAGGGGGUUUCCGCACCCUUAGUGCUGCAGCUAACGCAUUAAGGCACUCCGCCUGGGGAGUACGACCGCAAGGUUGAAACUCAAAGCGAAUUACGGGGACCCGCACAAGCGGUGGAGCAUGUGGUUUAAUUCGACAGCAACGGCGAAACCUUACCAAAUCUUGACAUCCUUUGA
rnacentral:rRNA from 1 species